UACGUAGGGGGCAAGCGUUGUCCGGAUUUAUUGGGCGUAAAGAGCGUGUAGGCGGCCAUACAGGUCAGCUGUGAAAACUCGAGGCUCAACCUCGAGACGUCGGUUGAAACCGUAUGGCUAGAGUCCGGAAGAGGAGAGUGGAAUUCCCGGUGUAGCGGUGAAAUGCGCAGAUAUCAGGAGGAACACCAGCGGCGAAGGCGGCGCUCUGGGCCGGUACUGACGCUGAGGAGCGAAAGCGUGGGUAGCAAACAGG
rnacentral:rRNA from 1 species